UUCACCACUUCCUGUUUUAUUUUGACAUUUCACAUUAGUUUCCUGCCACUAUUACAUUUCAUCCCACUUUACACUCAGCUCUCUCACUCAGUCAGUUUACUCACCUGCCUUCCUUCUGCUCAUUAUCACUCAAACCUGUCAGUAAUCUUCUCAUCUACCUGAACCUGUUUCCGGACCUGUACCUCAGUGAAAAACCAGAACAUCCUGAGAGAGGCACCAAAGCUGAAUGAGUCCUUUCAAAGAAGACGGGGAAGGUCACCCACAAAAAGGCAGAAGUUGUUUAUAACAUUAUCAAGUUUGGUCUUGCCAUGGGAUGUACACAGAGUACUAAAAAAACAAAAGCAUCGGAAUAGGAGAAAAACUGAGGUCUAGCAGAAACCACAGCUGGAAACAAAAGUGUGUCAUGGAGGGUGAGCCAUCUUUGCCAUUUUAUCAGGCAAUCAAAUAAAGUCUCAUCUGAAGGACAGAGAGGCAAGGCUCACCCAACCUAAAAGAAAAGCAACUUACUGCAUUACCGUUAAAAUAGGCUUACAAUGUGAAUCAGUAAAGGCUUAACUUUUAUGAGUUUGAAGGCCAAGGUGCAGCCUGCAUGAUCUAUAUGCCUAUAAUAUUUUCUCUGCCUCUGAAAUUUUCGUCUACAUUUUUUGUUUAUAUUGUGGAAGAAACAAAUACUUUUAUGCAUUAAAAUGUUGACAUUGCUGUGA